UUUUUUUCUCCAGUAAUUUCAGGAGUGUACAAAGGAGCUCAAUGUAAAACAUUUGCUCUCCUUGUCGGUGGAUGGACCUGCGGUCAUUUGGAUGUUCGCAGAGCUCUUGCAAAAAGACCAUGCCAGAAGAGAGGACUUCACAGCUGCAACAUCAUCCUCAAGAUUCCUUCUACCUUUCUGUGGGCAACGGUGGCUCGAACAUUUGCCAGCUGUCAAACGAGCAUUGGAAGUCUGGCCCUCUGUUGUGAAAUAUGUGGACCUUGUGAAGUCAGAAAAGGUGAAAAACCCAGGGACAUCUUCUUUUGACUGCAUUUCUGAAGCCCGAAUGGAUCCCCUUCUUCUGGCCAAACUACAUUUUUUUCAUGGCCCUAUCACAAGCAUUUCAACCAUUUCUUGCUAAAUACCAGACAGGUGUUCCCAUGAUGCCCUUCCUUUGGAAGGACUUGGCAGAAUUGAUCCAGACUCUCCUUCAGCGCUUCAUCAAACGAGAUCCCCUGCCUCUCACUCCAUAUAAGCUGGUCAGACUUGAUGUCAGUGAUCAAAAACUCUGGCUCAGUCCAAAGGAGGUGGAUAUAGGAAUGGCUGCAGCAG